rnacentral:rRNA from 1 species
AUUGAACGCUGGCGGCAGGCCUAACACAUGCAAGUCGAGCGGAUGAAGGGAGCUUGCUCCUGGAUUCAGCGGCGGACGGGUGAGUAAUGCCUAGGAAUCUGCCUGGUAGUGGGGGAUAACGUCCGGAAACGGGCGCUAAUACCGCAUACGUCCUGAGGGAGAAAGUGGGGGAUCUUCGGACCUCACGCUAUCAGAUGAGCCUAGGUCGGAUUAGCUAGUUGGUGGGGUAAAGGCCUACCAAGGCGACGAUCCGUAACUGGUCUGAGAGGAUGAUCAGUCACACUGGAACGGAGACACGGUCCAGACGCCUACGGGAGGCAGCAGUGGGGAAUAUUAGACAAUGGGCGAAAGCCUGAUCCAGCCAUGCCGCGUGUGUGAAGAAGGUCUUCGGAUUGUAAAGCACUUUAAGUUGGGAGGAAGGGCAGUAAGUUAAUACCUUGCUGUUUUGACGUUACCAACAGAAUAAGCACCGGCUAACUUCGUG